AGUCACUGACAUUAGAUACCCGCGUAGUCCCAGCCGUAAACUAUGCGCGUUAGGUGUAUCGGUGACCACGAGUUACCCGAGGUGCCGAAGGGAAACCGUGAAACGUGCCGCCUGGGAAGUACGGUCGCAAGGCUGAAACUUAAAGGAAUUGGCGGGGGAGCACCACAACAGGUGGAGCCUGCGGUUUAAUUGGACUCAACGCCGGGAAGCUCACCGGAUAGGACAGCAGAAUGAUUGCCGGGCUGAAGACCCUGUAUGACUAGCUG
rnacentral:rRNA from 1 species